rnacentral:rRNA from 1 species
GGGAAACCGCUUGGCCGGCGCUCGCUUACAUCAUGCAAGUUUGAACGAACUUCGGGUUAGUGGCGGACGGGUGAGUACUGAGAAUCUGCCCUCAGUGAUGGGGACAACAGUUGGAAACGACUGCUAAUACCCCAUAUGCCGCGAGGUGAAAUGAAUUUCGCCUGAGGAUGAGCUCGCGUCUGAUUAGCUAGUUGGUGUAGUAAUGGCUCACCAAGGCAUCGAUCAGUAGCUGGUCUGAGAGGAUGAUCAGCCACACUGGGACUGAGACACGGCCCAGACUCCUACGGGAGGCAGCAGUGGGGAAUUUUCCCGCAAUGGGCGAAAAGCCUGACGGAGCAACGCCGCGUGAGGGAUGAAGGCCUCUGGGCUGUAAACCUCUUUUAUCAAGGAAGAAGAUCUGACGGUACUUGAUGAAUAAGCCACGGCUAAUUCCGUGCCAGCAGCCGCGGUAAUACGGGAGUGGCCAAGCGUUAUCCGGAAUUAUUGGGCGUAAAGCGUCCGCAGGCGGCCCUUCAAGUCUGCUGUUAAAAAGUGGAGCUUAACUCCAUCAUGGCAGUUGGA